rnacentral:rRNA from 1 species
UACGUAGGGGGCUAGCGUUGUCCGGAAUCAUUGGGCGUAAAGCGCGCGUAGGCGGCCCGGUAAGUCCGCUGUAAAAGUCAAAGGCUCAACCUUUGAAUGUCAGUGGAUACUGCCGGGCUAGAGUCCGGAAGAGGCGAGUGGAACUCCUGGUGUAGCGGUGGAAUGCGCAGAUAUCAGGAAGAACACCGACGGCGAAGGCAGCUCGCUGGGACGGUACUGACGCUGAGGCGCGAAAGCGUGGGGAGCAAAUAGG